UCUUAGCACAUUAUAUCCUUUUAAGUGCUUUUUUCAAUAAAAUACUUUUCCAAAAUUAAAGUUGUAAUUUUAAAUGAUAAAAUUAAUUAUCAAUCAUAGGUUCAAAUAAACAAAUCACAAAGAUUAACAACAUCAGACAGAAUAAGUAGAAAACAAAGCCGCCAUAGGCGAUCCCAAGCGAUUCGCUUGUUUUAUUCACUAUCCGGUGCUCUAAGGAAGAUGGUAUGCAACGACUCCAUGUUGUGAUGGGGUAACAUUGAGUCUCUAUGAGACUCCACUACGAGUCUCAAAUUAAGACUCUGUUUGCUCCAAAGCAUGCAUGCAAAGAAAGGAAAAAUAAAGAAUUAGGAGUCAUCCAUAACAGUAAUAGCAUAUAAAGGCAAUAAAACUAGUAUUAUACUUCUUUUGAUUUAUAACAGGACCUUAGUAGUUUAUAAGUCCCUAUUUCUUGUAGAUAUUACUGAUGAUCAUCUGCUUUGGUUAGUUACCCUCUAUAUUAAAGGUAAAUUUAGGGUGAAUACAUAAUGAAUGCACUUUAGAUUACCGGAUUCAAAAUAAAGAAGAUAUGCUGUCAUGCAAUCAAGAUUUCAGUACUUAGAGGAAAGACUAAAAUUUAUAAUAUGUUUACAAUCCAACAAUAUGUAUUCAACAGUUAGUGAUAACCAUUAGACAAUUUUCAUAGUUCAAUAAACCUACAGGCGUAUUCUUCUAUGGUUAAACGAAUCCAAACAAUAGACUACAAAGCAUUCUAUAUUCCUCAAAAACCAAUAGUCUUCUACAUUCAGACAAAAAAAAGAUAGUAUUUGGCAUGGUAAAUUUCGCAUACUCAUAGUAACUAGACAUGAAUUCUACUCUCUUAAAAUUCUCUGCAAAAUAAUGGGGCCUAUUGGCAUAGUAUUUAUAAACCUCUAGUAAAUAAGUGUGUAUUUAUAAAUAAAAUGAGUCCUAAACAUGAUAUAGAUAUCAACUAAAUCACGAUUUAUAUAUAUUUAAAUAAAAAACGCUUAACAUACUACUUUUAACAAAUCUAAGAAUCACAAGAAUGUCAUAUUAACUUAAUGAUUUUUCAAACAUAUGACGAAUACUUAUUUUCAUGAUAUCUAGGACAUAGGACAUGAAUUAAUCUCAACUUAAACCAAAUCAAAAAAAUAUUCAAAACUAGCAGAUUCGAAAGAAAAGGGGAAGGAUAAAAAGAAGAAAGCACUGACCACUCAAUCUUUUAAAAAUAUAUGGUCUAUCUUAUAAAAUGCUUAAAGGCAUAGUUUCUAUACAACUCCUAAAACAUGACUCUUAUACUUAGAUCAUAAUUCCUGGCUAAAACGGCAUAACCCAUUUUGUAGAGUAAUUUUAACAAACAUGUCUUCUUCACAUUUAGUAAGUAAACAGCUAGAAUACGACUCACUAAGGAACGCAAUUUCUACAGAAGACGAAACAACACAUACUUUACGUCUAAUAACAAAAUAAGGGAACAAAAGAUUACAGUUUAGAAAGAAAACUAACCUGUUGCGGAGCAGCGAACCGAGGCAUGGAUCUUAGAUUCGUUAUCGAACUCUGAUUUUGAGACCACUCUUUCAUCUCAGACAAAUGCAUAUUCGACUAAAAUAAAUGAAGAUAAUCGAUUUUAUGCAAGGGUAAAUACCCAACAUAAAUAGCUGGGGAGUAAAAAAGAAUGAAGCUUUUCUGAGAUAAAUAACAGUUAAUAAGCAUAUGAUAAUUUAUAGAGGGGAAGAGAGGCGGCUCUAAGUUUGGUCUCAAAAGGUGAAGGCAACAACUAAAGACCUUCAAUAUUUGGGGUAAAAGGGGUGGCUCUCAGCUUGGUCGAAAAUCUUUUCAAAGGCGGGUAUUUAUAGGCUGAUUUCUAGGGUUCUUGGUUUAGGCGAGAUUUCGAAAUUGAGUGAAAAGCUCUUGAACAUUGAUAUUGACGAAAAUUAAAUGAGGUGCAAAGCUUCUUGUUCAAAAAUGGUAAUGGCAGGUCUGCCAUGGCUGGGCAACAAUGGAAUUUUUGAAGAAAAGGUAAGGGAGGAGAAGAAGCGUCUGUUUUGGAGAGAGAAUGGAAAAAUUAAAAUGCUAAUUGUGUCUAGGUCUU
rnacentral:lncRNA from 1 species